rnacentral:rRNA from 1 species
AACGAACGCUGGCGGCAGGCCUAACACAUGCAAGUCGAGCGAACCCUUCGGGGUUAGCGGCGGACGGGUUAGUAACGCGUGGGAAUAUACCCUUUGGUACGGAAUAGCCUCGGGAAACUGAGAGUAAUACCGUAUGUGCCCUUCGGGGAAAGAUUUAUCGCCAAAGGAUUAGCCCGCGUUGGAUUAGAUAGUUGGUGGGGUAAUGGCCUACCAAGUCUACGAUCCAUAGCUGGUUUGAGAGGAUGAUCAGCAACACUGGGACUGAGACACGGCCCAGACUCCUACGGGAGGCAGCAGUGGGGAAUCUUAGACAAUGGGCGCAAGCCUGAUCUAGCCAUGCCGCGUGGACGAUGAAGGCCUUAGGGUUGUAAAGUCCUUUUCAGAUGGGAAGAUAAUGACGGUACCAUCAGAAGAAGCCCCGGCUAACUCCGUG